AGUGAACGCUGGCGGUAGGCCUAACACAUGCAAGUCGAACGGCAGCACAGUAAGAGCUUGCUCUUACGGGUGGCGAGUGGCGGACGGGUGAGGAAUACAUCGGAAUCUACUUUUUCGUGGGGGAUAACGUAGGGAAACUUACGCUAAUACCGCAUACGACCUACGGGUGAAAGCAGGGGAUCUUCGGACCUUGCGCGAUUGAAUGAGCCGAUGUCGGAUUAGCUAGUUGGCGGGGUAAAGGCCCACCAAGGCGACGAUCCGUAGCUGGUCUGAGAGGAUGAUCGGCCACACUGGAACUGAGACACGGUCCAGACUCCUACGAGAGGCAGCAGUGGGGAAUGUUAGGCAAUGGGCGCAAGCCUGAUCCAGCCAUACCGCGUGGGUGAAGAAAGCCUUCGGGUUGUAAAGCCCUUUUGUUGGGAAAGAAAAGCAGCAGGUUGAUACCCCGCUGUUCUGACGGUACCCAAAGAAUAAGCACCGGCUAACUUCGUG
rnacentral:rRNA from 1 species